rnacentral:lncRNA from 1 species
AUUAUAUCUUUAAGCAAGAUAUAAUGUGCUGGCAAAACAAUGUAUGUAUCCGAUGUCAAUAUAGACUAUAACCAAUGUCUGAGUGAUUCAGAGUCCCAGACAAAAGGUCUUUAUUAUUAUUAUUAUUAUUAUUAUUACUUUCUCCUGCUAUGUGAAGCUGUGAAAGGAACAGAAUACAGGAGAAUUCAGAAUACAGAAUACGGAAUUCUGGAGCAAGGGUGGGUGUUUUUAAUUUGAGAGCCAGGCAUUCCAAAUGAUAUACCUAGCCGACACCUUGGUGACCUCAGUGUAAAGAGUUUCUUGGUUGCUGGAGGGACUUGAACAAUGAAAAUGAAAAAGUGGUCAGUCCUAAAACGGGAAAAUGGUAAAUACCAUCUGAACAGAGAAAACAACACAAAAUCAAGAAAGUGCCCAAAACAGUCACAAGGCUUUCCAGUGAAAAGAUGAACAGACCAUCUCCAAGCCCCAGAGAAGCCAUGAGACUGGACUGUGGCAGGUCACAAUUCAGUUCUUCCAGAUCUUAAAGUGUCGGCAGUGGCCAUGGUCUCCCAAGACCACAAAAUGAUCUCAGGAGAGCACCGUGUGCAAGCAUAUUCCUACAGCUACGACAAGAAAUGUGUGAUCAUGAGACCUCCAAGGAAAGGCCGACUCUCUCACCUGAAGUCAGAAGCAAGGACUGGACACUUGAAAAAUCCGGAUCCAUGGACUCCAAAUUGCUUGCCACGCCCCAAAGAUGUAUCAAGUACACAGAAAGGUUCCAUUAAUUGAUCCACUCAUGACCCUCUAGCUAAAUGACUCAUGUAGUUGUCCUUUUCCUAGAGGUUUUAAGAAAGAACUGCAGUAAUAAACUGACGCCUAGAUUCUACCAUUCGGAGGUGUAAACCCAAACCAGAGACUGUCAGAAAAAAAAGAAGGGGUUUGGAAGAAAUGGUCUCUGCAUCAGGGCUCCCCACAACAGCUCUAAGGAGAAGAACGGGUUUCUGAUUCACAUGGAAAAUAUAAAUCUGCAGAGCUUCUUGCAUUAGCAGGAAUGGGAAAUUGCUUCACUUCAUCAAUUUUGAAACUUAAACUUAAUUGCUUCUUUCCCUUAAUGCUCUCUUCCCACCCCCAGUCUCUUUAAACUUCAGAAGUCUAAGAGAAUCCUUGGUUACAGAGCCCUCGGCCGGCUCAGGACUUUUCAAAUUCCAAAACAAGUCCUAGCAGGCUGGAACUUUCUUCUGGGAAUAACAUUGUUAAUGUUAUUAACCACCUUUGUUUCUCUCUCUCUCUCUCUCUCUCUCAAUCUGGAACUGCUUUUAAAAAAAAAAAAAAGGAAAGAAAAAAAGAAAGUCAGUCACUGGAGGGCCUUCUGGUCCUUCCCACAGACAUGGGUAGCUAUGAAUCAUUUCAUACAGUUUUUUUACCACUGAAAGAUGAAUGAAAAAGAAAGGAGCAGCUGAGAAGAGAAACCCUCCUUCGCUUAGAAUCCUGCACACACCUCAAGUAUGGCUCAGGACCCACACCAUGCAUUGAACCUUACACACAGAAAGAGAACAGUUCACCCUGAGAGGGAUGGCCACCACUGAAAUUAUGCCUGGGUUUUUUGGGGGGGGGGGUUGUUGUUGUUUUUACCACCAACACAUAUAGGUUGGAAGGGACUGUGGCUUGUCCAGGGCUUUUUACCACCCAUGCAUACGGGUUCUAAGGGACUGUGGCUUGUCCAGAGCUAGAGGAGCGCUAACUCCUGACCCUAAGUCCCAGAGGGGGCCCACAGCCCCUAUACCUAAAUAAAGCAGUGCUCGGGCAGGUUUUUAUGUGGCCCUAUUAAUAGCACUUCAUGCUGAUUCAAUUCUCGCCAGUUCCUAGAUCGUGUGUCCAUUUAAAAGCAAUAAUAAUUUUAAAAGUAAGCACCCACCCAGAACAAAAGCAAACCCCCCCCCAAAUCGGUUGCUUACAUUCCUAAGGUUUCCAUAACACCAUGAAAAUGGAGUGGAUGGUGUCCUCAGCCUCACCAUCAGUUUUCUGGGAGAGCCAUGCAGUGAGCCACGGUCAGGGGGCUUCUUAGCCUUCCUCUACUUCCCUCCAGCACCCAGGUCUCUCCACGUAGCCUCACGGGUGGGCUGAAGCAAGCAGUGUUGCCAUUACCCCCAUGAAAACCCAGAGCAUCCACGGAGUGAUCUCACACAUUAAAACACACUGCACAUGUGAGAUCAAUUAGGCGGGGACGACCUUCGUAUUUGGGAAAACACUGAAAUGCCAGCCCGCCCCCUUAAUGUCUGACCUCCAUCUGAAACUACGGAACAACAGCAAUCCUAAAGAUUUAAACACUUCAGACUACUGUACCUGGUCAUCAGUGACACGGUGUGGCAGAGGAGCCAAGACGAGGAAUUAAUUGAGCUACGUGGAGAACCGGCACCUCAAAACCACACGACUCUUCAGAGCCUCUAAUUUGACACAUGCAUGUUAAAGAGGGAGCAAAGAAUGUUCUGUCAGGCUAUCAGUUUACAAAUCUUGGAUCUCUUAUCUAGAGGACAUUCUUUGACUACGUAUUCGUGGUUGAGAGAGUCUUCAUGAUCGCUGUCAUUUUAAACUCUUAGAGGAUCAUAUUUUUAUUCCCUCAGUCUCUGGUGGUGAAUACUCUCUCUCAAUGCCCCUCUUGACAGGAGACCUAAUAUCCAACUUCACUUGUCUAGAUUUACGGGACGUUCAGAGGCAUUACAAAACAGAAUACAAACUAAUGUUGGGAUUUUAUAAGAGGACAUUUGUUCCUCACCAAGAGAAAUGAGUGGGAAAGACACUGCCGAGACUGUCCACGGGUGACGGUAUUAUGGCUACACAGGGAAUAAACACAUGGGAGACAUAGUUAAGGCUCUUCAUUCCCAUAAAAAUUCCAAUUCUCACUCUCCCUGCACCAGCAAUGCAAACUUGGUCUAGUUACUUGCCCAUUCUUGCUCCAUUUCCUCAGCUGAAAAAUAGGAGUAAUAUUCUCUUGCCCAUGGGAUUGCUGUAUUAAAAACAACAAAAAUGAGAUAUGGAAACAAGCAGCCAGGAAUAUAGUAAGAACAACAAAUAAAGCAAUAAUCACCACCACCACAUGUGUCUGUUUCCAGAAUCUUUCCUGCAUUGAACAGGUUAUUUCCAUAAUUUAAAGACAUGAUUAAAAACAUUUCAAGGAUCAUUUCCACCCUAAAGCUACCAUUCAAUUGUUCUCACAAUACAGAAAGUCAUCUCUGCAACUUUUUUUUUUUUUUUUAAGAAUUCCUCUUUGGACUUUGGUAAUUAACUACUAGCUGUCAUUUCCCUCAAAAUCAGGAAGACAAGCAAAUAGAGUGCACUUUGAAGUACUUUUUACACAGAUCUGAAACAGUGUAUUAUUCUUAUCCCCCUCCCAUGAGGUAGGAAACAGGCUAACUUGGGGAAUGUCGUGCAGUCAAGGGUUAAAAACUCAAUGUAUGAUGCUAUAUGGGAUCUUCUACCAUGAAGCAUGAAAGCAGACAUGGAGCAAAAUAGGACAAAAAGGUACAAUGGACAAUUUCUAGAAAAAGGUGAAAAUCCUCUUGCAUAUGAAUUAUUCACACAGCGGUCAAUAUUUUUUCUUAUCCUUAUUAUACAAAAUAGUAAAAAAGAGCUGCCCAAGGCUGCUUCUCCUUUCAGCUAAAACAGCACAGAUAGUUUCAUUCAAAGUAUGUAAAAACAAAAACAAAAAAGUCAGCAAACCUUUACAAGCCUUUUCAAAGCCUGGCACCAUUUACAUCACAAAGUUUA